AUUUAUUGGGCGUAAAGCGAGCGCAGGCGGUUUUUUAAGUCUGAUGUGAAAGCUUUCGGCUCAACCGAAGAAGUGCAUCGGAAACUGGGAAACUUGAGUGCAGAAGAGGACAGUGGAACUCCAUGUGUAGCGGUGAAAUGCGUAGAUAUAUGGAAGAACACCAGUGGCGAAGGCGGCUGUCUGGUCUGUAACUGACGCUGAGGCUCGAAAGUAUGGGUAGCAAACAGGAUUAGAUACCCUGGUAGUCCAUACCGUAAACGAUGAAUGCUAAGUGUUGGAGGGUUUCCGCCCUUCAGUGCUGCAGCUAACGCAUUAAGCAUUCCGCCUGGGGAGUACGGCCGCAAGGCUGAAACUCAAAGGAAUUGACGGGGGCCCGCACAAGCGGUGGAGCAUGUGGUUUAAUUCGAAGCUACGCGAAGAACCUUACCAGGUCUUGACAUACUAUGCAAAUCUAAGAGAUUAGACGUUCCCUUCGGGGACAUGGAUACAGGUGGUGCAUGGUUGUCGUCAGCUCGUGUCGUGAGAUGUUGGGUUAAGUCCCGCAACGAGCGCAACCCUUAUUAUCAGUUGCCAGCAUUAAGUUGGGCACUCUGGUGAGACUGCCGGUGACAAACCGGAGGAAGGUGGGGAUGACGUCAAAUCAUCAUGCCCCUUAUGACCUGGGCUACACACGUGCUACAAUGGAUGGUACAACGAGUUGCGAACUCGCGAGAGUAAGCUAAUCUCUUAAAGCCAUUCUCAGUUCGGAUUGUAGGCUGCAACUCGCCUACAUGAAGUCGGAAUCGCUAGUAAUCGCGGAUCAGCAUGCCGCGGUGAAUACGUUCCCGGGCCUUGUACACACCGCCCGUCACACCAUGAGAGUUUGUAACACCCAAAGUCGGUGGGGUAACCUUUUAGGAACCAGCCGCCUAAGGUGGGACAGAUGAUUAGGGGAAGUCGAGCAGACUGCCGGUUAAGGUCUUGUUUUUC
rnacentral:rRNA from 2 species